rfam:Chamaesiphon minutus PCC 6605, complete genome.
AGGAGCCGGAUGAGCGGAGACGUUCACGUCCGGUUCUGCGAGCGCCUGGAGGGGUGGUUCCUCUGGGCGACUCUAC